CUUUGUGUUUAUGACAGGGGUGUUGGGAAGCUUAGAUAAUGUUUGUAAAAGUGCAUUGAGAUCCGCACAUAGAAGGGCCUAAUUCUGUGCAAAUACUAUCAUGGACUUCUCAAGCAAGUCUAGAGUACCUGCAGCGAGCUGAUGGGCCUCG